CCUACGGGAGGCAGCAGUGGGGGAUAUUGCACAAUGGGGGAAACCCUGAUGCAGCGACGCCGCGUGGGUGAAGAAGCGCCUCGGCGCGUACAGCCCUUUCAGCAGGGAAGAAAAUGACGGUACCUGAAGAAGAAGCCCCGGCUAACUACGUGCCAGCAGCCGCGGUAAUACGUCGGGGGCAAGCGUUAUACGGAGUUACUGGGUGUAAAGGGGGCGCAGACGGCGGUGCAAGCCAGGAGUGAAAGCCCGGGGCCCAACCCCGGGACUGCUCUUGGAACUGCGUGGCUAGAGUGCAGGAGGGGCAGGCGGAAUUCCUGGUGUAGCGGUGAAAUGCGUAGAUAUCAGGAGGAACACCGGUGGCGAAGGCGGCCUGCUGGACUGCAACUGACGUUGAGGCCCGAAAGCGUGGGGAGCAAACAGGAUUAGAUACCCCAGUAGUC
rnacentral:rRNA from 1 species